GGAGCAUUCGUACCGGAUAUUCGCUCUUCCUGAUAUGGGAAUUGAACUCGGAGCCUGCAACACACGGCUGAAAAGGAUCUCGAAGCUUCUUGAAGCGGAUCCCUGUGCACUAGACUUCCAAAAAAAAAAUGUUUUAGAUAACAAUGUUCCUGCUGGGUAAUCGUCGACUCUUAAACGUUACGUGGAAAAUCUUCGAGUUUGAAAUUUUCCGAAAGAAUCCGAUAGCUACUUCAACCGGAUCUCUGAUAUUUAAAUCUCUGUAAUUGGAAUUUCCUGAAAGAAUCCGAUAUAGCUAUUUCAAGCAGAUGUCUACAAUAUUCACCAGAUUCAGGAAAAAUUGAUAAUCGUUUUUACUGCAUGCGAUAUAUCUAUGCUGCACAUGUAAUGGAGUCACCUCGACUGUAGGUGAUCAUCACCAUCCACAUAAAGUGAAAAAUCUCGAGCAUCGUUCUUCGUGGGAGCAUCACAUCACACCUACUACACAUCUUUAGCCAUCAGGGAGGCAGAGACUUCCGGGUAAAAUCCAAGACCCCCGAGCUUGGGAACCAGCUCGGGUCCGGUUUUGGUACCGGCAGCGAUGGGGUAAGUCCCAGCAGUCAGAUUUCCUCGAUUUGUUUGCCAGCUCACGCGAUGGUGAACGCUGGCAUCGGGUCGUUGUAUUUUAUAACUAGUUAUAAGUUUACCCCCUUCCCCAUUUCUCUUGGCGUGGCGGUACUUUUAGAUUUAAAAAUAAUUUUAUUAGCUCAGGUAAUGGCAGGUUUGGUUGCCGUUGAGCAUAGCGCACCUGCACUUUGUAGAGUCACAGAUAUAGAAUUCUUUUGCAAUAUCAUUCAGUCAGUCAAUCUAUAAGCAUCUAUUAGUCAGUUAACGAAUAGUUUUUAGAUUAUAAACUAUUCAAAUAAAAUCAUCAUCAUCCACCAACCUUGUAAGCAAGAGUGUGCAGCUCAUAGGCACCGGUAAAGACCAUCGUUUGAUCGGCCCACGCGUUUUCUUGAAUUUUGUAGUAAUUUUCAGUGAUUGAUCUCGUUUACGUCGAUCACUUAACGGUAGGAAAAAUUUAGUCGUUCGAAUGGUGGUCCUUUACCAUAGUUUCACUUUCUCUAUGAGAAUCAGGUAUGUUCAGCAGCUCCAACCAAUUUAAAACUUUGUGAUUAGUUUUUUGAAAAUGAAAAAUUUUUCAAUCAUUUUCCAUUUUCCUUCAUUCAAAGUUAAUCAACUUCAACUUAUGAAUAUGUAAAUACAUAUUUCUCAACAUCUUCUCUUCUCCCUGAUUCUCUUGUUAAUUUUAAGUAUCCGAUUAAGCAUCAAGAAACUACCGCGGACAUCGUAUAGAUUAAGUAUGAAAAUAUUUAAGGUAUAGAUUAAGUAUGAAAAUAUUUAAGGUAUAGAUUAAGUAUGAAAAUAAUUAAGAUUACGAUUAAGUCUGAUGGAUAAAUUAGGAUUUUCAAAUUUUUGAAUUGAGAAGAAUCUUCGACAACCUUUUAUUUUCUGACAAUGAGAUGGAAUGCAGAACAAGGAAAAAUAUUACUCCACUACCUAUUUCAUAUUUUGUUAGCAUUAAGAAAAAAAAAUAACCAAAAAACUAGUCAUAAGGAAUCCCAUCCUAUACACAUAUAUUUUUAGCCCUCAAUCAAUAUGAAGUAUAUCAUCAUUUUGCUAAUAAUAUUUUUCAAUACGAUUCUAAAUGAAAUUCUCAAAAGUUUAUUGUAAAUAUUUCGAUUCAUAAGAAUCACGUUAGUCAAAUCAUUCCAAGAUCUCCAAAGUUUGAUGAAUUUUGGCUGAUAAAAAUACACAAAUUUAACAAUUUAUUAAUUACGGCUUCAGCCGGGGCUUGGGCAGCCUAUAUUGUGUACACACAACACACAUAUUUAAGGAAUAAAGAAAAUAACUUAAGAAUUGUUAUUUAGUUUUAACAUAAAUAUAUUAAGUUUUAAUUAGUUUUAACUGUUAAGUCUGCGCUCAGUACGUAUAUUAAGAAAGUAAAUUCAAAUUAACAAUAGCUAGGAUGUCUAAUCAUAUAAGAUUUUUUCCUCCCACACACAAAUCUUCAAGCCCUUAGCUUUUUUUUCUAAUUGUCAGUACAAAUAGAUAUGAGAUCGAUUAAAUUCCUUUUUGCAAAGAUUCCAAUGAAAUUAUAUCAAAGUAUUAAAAAAUUAAAAUCAAUUGAAAUCGAGUCACUAGUAUUAUUCAAAGAUUUUCAAUGUUGAAUAUAAAUUUCGGCUUACAAAAACACACACCUUUUCAAAAUUUGAUAAAUUCUUUGGCUUCUGCCAGGGCAUGGGCAGCCCGUACUAUAUUUUCACACACAACAGGUAAUGGUGAGUCUUUGAACGAGAUACCACGGCAAUGAAUGUGAUAUGUAUGAGUAAGAUUGGUAUGAAUGAGAUGUACAAACAUAUGGGAAUUUUUUUCCCCUACACACACAGCCCUUAGUUUUUUCUAGUUAAAAAUAUACAAAUUUGAAUCAUUUCGGCCUAAAGAACACACACCUCUUCAAAAUCACGGCUUCUGCCGAGGCUUGGGCAGCCUGAACACACUUACACUUUGAGAAGAUCUUUUUUCUAUUUUUUUUUUUCUCUGUAGAGUCAGUUGUCAAAAGUUUGACAAUGUGAAUGUGAACCGAAUAUGUCGGAGCGCCGGCGCUGGUAUGAAUCGGGGGUUUUCGUCAGUAAAAUCAUUUCUUGGAUAAAUAUAGGUGAAAGGCAGGUAUAGGUAAAUUCAUGUUUCGCGAAGGGUCUCUAAUUGGUAUGUAUGUGCAGUAUGUGAGUGCGAGUGUGCAAGUCAUAGUUUUAACCGUUGGGUGGGAUGUGGGCUGAACAAUAUGGGUAGGCAAGAAAUCGGAAGUGUAUAACUUUUCUGUCCACAGCAAUUCCAAGUGAUCAAUUGAGUAGAGUUCAUUAAAUUGCGUUAGCUUAUUUUUUGCAAUAUUUCACCUUAUAUUUUUCUCACAAUUCUUUUCAAGUGAUCUCUUAGGUCUCUUUGCUGAGAUCUGAUAGACACUCUUCUUUCCCAACUUAAUAAAUUAAAUUAGAUCGAGUUCUUUGCUUUCCUGUAAUAUUUGCGGUCACUUGGAAUGGGCAAAAUGCGUCCGCUUUGCUCUCCGUACCAGCCGUGGUGCAUGGAAGUGAGGUGGACGUUGAGCUCGAAGACGUCGCGUCGAAGAGGACCACCGACCGCCACGCCACAAAUUUUCAAACCUUCCCCCUUUCCACUCCCCAAUGUUAAUUGGAAUAGAAGGAUGCGAUUAAAAAUUGCAUUUCUUCGAUUUCCAUUAGCAUAAAUAUUCCAAGUCUGACGCUGCUCGCGCGGGUAUAUAGCGCGCGGACGAGGAAUCGCAUGUUAUGUGUUUAUAUAUUUUAUGUCUUGUACGCCCGAUUGGGCCAUUUUUAGCGUGACUUGCCAUCUUGCAAGGCGCUUCAAAAACUUGAUGUGAGAGAUUUUCUUUCAGGUAUUUAAAGUAAAAUAUAAACCCAAGUUCCGUCGCUGCUGCUCGUAUGCGCGCGGACUUGGCACUUAAAACAUAAA